CCAGGGACGCCUUGUUACGAGAAUCUUCUUCACCAUAAGUUCACCGUUUUCUUCUUUCUAGCCAAAAGAGAGCAAGCAAAUGAAGAUUCUACUCAAAAUAUAUAAAUUGCAUCAAAACAGCUUUUUAAGAUAAAUAAUCCAAUAGGAAAAUGGGUAAUACAAAAAAAUGUCUCAAAAGAGAGGAAACAAAAAUUAUAAAUACAUAAAAGAUGCUAAACUUCAUUAGUAAUCAGUAAAAUGCAUUAACACCAUGUGAUGAAGAAUCUUCCUGCAAUGCAGGAGACGCAGGGGACCUGGUUCGAUCCCUGGGUUGGGAAGAUCCCCUGGAGAAGGGCAUGGCAACCCACUCCAGUAUUCUCACCUGGAAAAUUCCACAGACAGAGGAGCCUGGAGAGAUACAGUCCAUAGAGUUGCAAAGAAUUAGACAGGACUGAAGUGACUUAGCCUGGCACAUAUGAGUUAAUAACAUAAAGCACUUAAAGUAAUGCAGAGUACAUCAUGAGCCUUCAGGUGAGCUGGGUUUAUUUUAUUUCAGUUUAUUAACACCACAGUGAGAGUUUAUUUUACACCCAACAAACUGGUAAACACUAAAGCGUGUGGCACAUGCAGUACCUGAGAAGCGGAUACAAAGGAGUUUAUUCAUAAAACAGAAACAGACCCACAGAUUAAAAGACGGAAUUGAUGGCUGCCGGGCAGUGAAGGGGUAGGUAGGGAGUUUGGGAUCAUGAUAUGUACACACUGUUACAUUUAAAAUGGAAAACCAAUAAGACCCUCCUGUAGAGCAUGGGGAACUCUGCUCACUGUUGUGUGGCAGCCUGGAUGGGAGAGAGUCUGGGGGAGAGUGGACCCAUGCAUAUGUAUGGAUGAGCCCCUGUGCGGUCUACCAGAAACUACCACAGCAUUAUUCAUCGCCUACACUCCAGUAUAAAAUAAAAUGCUUUUAAAAAUGCAGUUAAUAAGCAUGGGUAAGGAUGUGAAGGAAUGGGGGUUCUCAUAAACUGCCAGUGGGGGCAGACAUUAUAAGCCCUGGAAAGCAAUUCAGCUUUGCUGUGGGUUGGAGGAACUAACCCCACAUUUGGGUGUGCUGCUCUGACCCUUUUACCAAAUAAUACUUAGGCUACUACUUUUGAUGGGGGCCCAGAAUGAAAGAAGUCUCUGCAGCAGCCAUUGUGGAAAACUGGAGUUUCAUCAAAAACAGAACUACAAUAUGAUGCAGUAAUUCCAUUUCUGGAUAUUUAUCCAGAGAUAACAAAACACUAAAAGAUUUAUGCAACCCCAUGUUCAUUGCAGCAUUAUUCACAAUAGCCAAGAUAUGGAAGCAACCCACGUGCCUAUAGAUACAUGAGUGAAUAAAGAAGAUGCGAAAUAUAUAUGCGUAUACACAAAGAUUAUUCAGCCAUAGAGAAAGAGUGAAACCUUGUUGAUGACAACAUGAAUGAACUUUGAGUGCUAAAUGAAAUGUCAGACAGAAAAAGACAAAUACUUCAUGACCUCAUUUAUAUGUGGAAUCUAAAAAUCAAGACAAAAGCAAAAAUGAACUCAGAUACAAGCAGGUGGCUGUCAGAGGCAAGGGGAAUUGGAGGAACAAGUUGCCAACUUUCAGUUUUAAAAUAGUCCUGGAAUGUAGUGACAGGAUGGUGACUGCAGUUAAAUAAAAAGGAAAAAAACAUUUAAAAAAAGAAAAAUAGUAGUCAGCAAUUCAAUUCCAAAUGCCACAGUGAGUUCAAGUAAGAUAAAAAUGAGGACAUAAUUAUUGUCUUAGAAAUGAUUCAGUGAAAUAAACUCAGAGAUCAAAAUUCAGUGGUCCAAGAAAUAAAAAGGAUGUAACAUGCAAACAGGGAAUACAGGCAAUCAAGAAUCAUUGCUCUAAGAUCAUAAUUAUAUGCCUUAGCAUUUCUACUUCUUGAAACAGAUGCAAAGUAAAUAAGCAUGUAUGCAUGCAAAGAGCUAGCCACCUGAAGUACGUUUUAUAUGCUGUUUAUAUUAGUUAAAAAGAUAAUAAUGUGACAUAUAUUCAAAGUUAGGGGAUUGAUUAUACAUACAUAUUAAGGUAAAUGGAAUAUUGCACAACCAUUUAAAUAAUGGGUAAGAAUAAACUUAUUCAUGCAGAAAUCUGUGCCUGAUUCACUUUUAGAUUGAUAAAGUCUGAAAUAUUACAUAUGUUAGGAUUUUGGUUUUAGAAAAAAUUAAUUUAUGAAAAGAAAGAGAUAUAGAUAGUUUAAGAUAGAGAUAUAGACAGUUUAAGAUAGACAUAUAGACAGACAGUUUAAGAUGCUUUGGGCUAUGAAUAACAGAAUAACAAAUUCAUAGAGGAUUAAAUAUGACCAUUUCUUAUCCAUAUGGAGAGGGUCUUUCAAUUGGGCAAUAGCAGGCUGCUCAAUGGUUAAUUCAGUUGCUCAGAAAUAGGGUCAAGGAGGUUUCUAGCUGUCACCUUGAUCCUGAAGCUCAUUAUGAUCAAUUACAGCUUAAAAUCUAUCGACCCUUCUCUCUUCAAGGGUAUUUCUGAAAGAAGGGUUUUGCCCACACUAUGUCAAAUCGACAUCUCUCAUCACUGUCAUCAGUCUACCUCAGUGACUCUUUCCCUUAGAUGUGUGAGAUGGAGACACACUUCUCAGAAAAGAUGAGCGGCCCGACUCUAGAGCAUAGGUGCCUUGGGAUGGAGCGAAUGUCUGAGUCCUCCCAAACGUCUUGUGUUGAAGCCCUCGCACGCCCUCCGUAUGAUGGUACUCGCGCCAGGGCGGGGGGCGGUGGGGUGGAAUAGGAGGUAAUUAGGUUUAGAUGAGGCAUGAGAAUGGCACUCCCAUGAUGGAAUUAGUGUUCCUGUAAGAAAAAAAGAGAGACCACAGUCCUCUCUCCCCACUUACAUGGCCCCACCAUCCUCCAGGUUAGGACACACCAGGAAGGCCGCCGUCUGCAAGCCCUGGAGAGCGCCUUUACCAGGACCCGACUCUGCCAGCACCUUCAUCGUGGACUUUUCACAGUUCUCACAGCCUCUAGAACUGCGAGAAAUCAACGUUUAUUGUUUCAACCACCCAGCCUAUGGAGGAUUCUUUACCGCUGAGCCACUGAAGAAGAUACUGGAGCAUCUUAACGUCAUACUCUUGGGAAAUGAGAUUAUCAAUGGCUGUAAAAUGUUUCACUGGGUCGUCCCUGACUUAAAAGAUUUUUCAACUUUGUGAAUGGUGCGGGAAGGACACACAUUAAGUAGGAACCCUACUUCCGAAUUUGAAUGCUGAUGUUCUCCUGAUCGGCUGUCCAGUGCUGUCUGUGAUGCGGGGCAGUGACAGGCAGCCACGGGUCCCCGUCAGCCGCACCGUCAGAAGUGUGCACAGCUGACACGCAACCUUUCUGAACCCAUACUACCAUUCUGUUUUUCCCUUUCACUGCGGCAUUCAAUAAAUUACAUGAGAUCU